rnacentral:misc_RNA from 1 species
UAAUUAACGAAGCGUGCACUUAUUGACAUUUUCAGAGCGUGCUGAUGCCAUGCCGUCCGGCGGUCCAAGUUACGGCAGCUACUGCUGUGUGUCGUGGUGCUUCAACAAUGGCAAAACCCAGAAGAAGCCAGGAACGAGUUUCUUCCGCAUACCACGGGACGGCAGGAUGACAGCAUGGAUGCAGUACGCUGGAAGAGACGAUCUUCUGAGUAAGCCGGGCAGCGUAUUGUACGCAACCUACAGAGUUUGCAGCGACCAUUUCACUGCUGAAAGUUUCAUGGACCCUGGGCAUACAAGGCUUACAAAAAUGGCUGUGCCGAGUGAGCACC